rnacentral:rRNA from 1 species
UACGUAGGGUGCGAGCGUUAAUCGGAAUUACUGGGCGUAAAGCGUGCGCAGGCCGUUUCGUAAGACAGAUGUGAAAUCCCCGGGCUCAACCUGGGAACUGCAUUUGUGACUGCGAGACUAGAGUGUAGCAGAGGGGGGUAGAAUUCCACGUGUAGCAGUGAAAUGCGUAGAGAUGUGGAGGAAUACCGAUGGCGAAGGCAGCCCCCUGGGUUAACACUGACGCUCAUGCACGAAAGCGUGGGGAGCAAACAGG